UGUCAUUUUUCCUCAGAUUUCUUUUCCCUUGGAUUUUCUUGGGAAACAAACAGAAAAUAUGGAAGGAGAGGAGCUGCGUUGUUCCGAAGCAGACACGGUCGAUCUUCUGAAUCAAUUCGAAUGUAUCUUGGAAUCCGAUCCCCAAAUAGAUGAAGUGGGAUUUCUUCACCCGUCCCAGUUUUCCAAGCUGAAUAAAGAGGCAGGCCAUUCCUCACCCUCAUCUGAUGACAGUACUGUGCUGCGCUCAGUUGAUGGCAACUCAGUUUUUUGGAAUAGGGAUCAUAAGUUGGGGAUUUCAACACAAGUUCUUUUUCCGUUAUAUGAGGCUGCUAAGCAUGCGUUUAUGGCAGGAAGUAGACAAUAUAAGGCACUUAACAGCAAAUCAGAUGUAUCUGGGGAUGAGAAGUCUUUGUAUGUGUCAUUAUCUUUGGAUAAUAGUUUUGAAAGUGACGUCAUGAAGCAUAGCAGGGCACUUUUGUUGCUAAGUAGUGAUUUCGGCACUGCAUGGCAUUCCAGUCGAGGAAAUUGUUGGAUACUUCUGCUAAUUGGAUCAACGGAAGCGAUAGCCAGUGAUUGGUGGUAUCUUUUGGCAGGAUUACAAGGACUUUGUUGUGGAUGGGAUUCAAACAGAACCUUUCAACUUGAUUAACGAGCAGAGGGAAGAAGGUUAUUUUAAUGCAGAUGGAAAGUAUAUUACAUAUGCCAUUAAAAAUGAAGUCAAGAGCAUAAAAUAUUUUUUUAUACAGAAGCUUUCAUCUCUCUGAUUAAAUUCAGUUGAAUUAAGUAAUUCAGUCGAUUACUUAAUUCAGUAAAAGAGACAACCAAAGAACAACGUGGAGGUGGAGUCAAAUACAAAAUCAUAGAAUCAAAAACUAAGGUAAUCUUUAUGCAUUUCGUUUGAUUUGUUUGAAUAGGAUGAUUUAUAACUGUUUCAGUAUUAUGUUUCUUCGUAUGCAGAUUACCAUAUGUAUUUGAGAGCACAGCUGAUGUAAGUUCUCUCUUUAUGCCUCUAUCUCUCUGUGCAUCGAUCUGUUUUCUGGCAAUUUUAUUCUUCUGUAUGCAUUAUGUUUAUCCUGAACCAAAGGUUCCUAAUCUUUUAUUUA